rnacentral:rRNA from 1 species
GGGGAGCAAGCGAGAGUGAGUUUACCCGUUGAAUAAGCACCGGCUAUCUACGUGCCAGCAGCCGCGGUAAUACGUAGGGUGCAAGCGUUAUCCGGAAUUAUUGGGCGUAAAGGGCUCGUAGGCGGUUCGUCGCGUCCGGUGUGAAAGUCCAUCGCUUAACGGUGGAUCCGCGCCGGGUACGGGCGGGCUUGAGUGCGGUAGGGGAGACUGGAAUUCCCGGUGUAACGGUGGAAUGUGUAGAUAUCGGGAAGAACACCAAUGGCGCCUCGCAGGUCUCUGGGCCGUUACUGACGCUGAGGAGCGAAAGCGUGGGGAGAGAACAAAAUUAGCUACCCUGGUAGUCCACGCCGUAAACGGGGGAUGCUGGAUGUGGGGCCCGUUCCACGGGUUCCGUGUCGGAGCUAACGCGUUAAGCAUCCCGCCUGGGGAGUACGGCCGCAAGGCUAAAACUCAAAGAAAUUGACGGGGGCCCGCACAAGCGGCGGAGCAUGCGGAUUAAUUCGAUGCAACGCGAAGAACCUUACCUGGGCUUGACAUGUUCCCGACGGUCGUAGAGAUACGGCUUCCCUUCGGGGCGGGUUCACAGGUGGUGCAUGGUCGUCGUCAGCUCGUGUCGUGAGAUGUUGGGUUAAGUCCCGCAACGAGCGCAACCCUCGCCCCGUGUUGCCAGCGGAUUAUGCCGGGAACUCACGGGGGACCGCCGGGGUUAACUCGGAGGAAGGUGGGGAUGACGUUAGAUCAUCAUGCCCCUUACGUCCAGGGCUUCACGCAUGCUACAAUGGCCGGUACAACGGGAUGCGACGCGGCGACGCGGAGCGGAUCCCUGAAAACCGGUCUCAGUUCGGAUCGCAGUCUGCAACUCGACUGCGUGAAGGCGGAGUCGCUAGUAAUCGCGAAUCAGCAACGUCGCGGUGAAUGCGUUCCCGGGCCUUGCAC